GCGCACCAGUCGCGAAACUUUACAAUGUGCGAAAGCACGAUAAGGGAACUCUGAGUGCCUCCUAAGGAGGCUGUUCAGGUGUCUAAAAGCACCUGAAGGAAGGGCUGGGUAAGACCGGUGCCAGCCGCCGCGGUAACACCGGCAGCCCAAGUGGUAGCCACGUUUAUUGGGUCUAAAGCGUCCGUAGCCGGCUGGGUAAGUUCCUUGGGAAAUUUGGCUGCUUAACAGUCAAGCUUUCAGGGAAUACUGCUCGGCUUGGGACCGGGAGAGGUCAGAGGUACUCCAGGGGUAGGGGUGAAAUCCAUUAAUCCUUGGGGGACCACCGGUAGCGAAGGCGUCUGACCAGACCGGGUCCGACGGUGAGGGACGAAGGCUAGGGGCGCGAACCGGAUUAGAUACCCGUGUAGU
rnacentral:rRNA from 1 species